CCUACGGGAGGCAGCAGUGGGGAAUUUUGGACAAUGGGCGCAAGCCUGAUCCAGCAAUGCCGCGUGAGUGAAGAAGGCCUUCGGGUUGUAAAGCUCUUUUGUCAGGGAAGAAACGGUGAGGGCUAAUAUCCCUUGCUAAUGACGGUACCUGAAGAAUAAGCACCGGCUAACUACGUGCCAGCAGCCGCGGUAAUACGUAGGGUGCAAGCGUUAAUCGGAAUUACUGGGCGUAAAGCGUGCGCAGGCGGUUUUGUAAGUUUGUCGUGAAAUCCCCGGGCUCAACCUGGGAAUGGCGAUGAAGACUGCAAGGCUAGAAUCUGGCAGAGGGGGGGUAGAAUUCCACGUGUAGCAGUGAAAUGCGUAGAGAUGUGGAGGAACACCGAUGGCGAAGGCAGCCCCCUGGGUCAAGAUUGACGCUCAUGCACGAAAGCGUGGGGAGCAAACAGGAUUAGAUACCCUGGUAGUCCACGCCCUAAACGAUGUCUACUAGUUGUCGGGUUUUAAUUAACUUGGUAACGCAGCUACGCGUGAGUAGACCGCCGUCGGGAGGUACGGUCGCGAGAUUAAACUUAAAUAGAUUAGACGGCGUGAGACGUGCCGACGGACGACCGACGAGGGAGGUUAGG
rnacentral:rRNA from 1 species